rnacentral:rRNA from 1 species
CCUACGGGAGGCAGCAGUGGGGAAUCUUGCGCAAUGGGCGAAAGCCUGACGCAGCCAUGCCGCGUGAAUGAUGAAGGUCUUAGGAUUGUAAAAAUUCUUUUCAGUAGGGACGAUAAUGACGGUACCUACAGAAGAAGCCUCGGCUAACUUCGUGCCAGCAGCCGCGGUAAUACGAAGGGGGCUAGCGUUGCUCGGAAUUACUGGGCGUAAAGGGAGCGUAGGCGGGUUAUCAAGUUGGAGGUGAAAGCCCAGGGCUCAACCUUGGAAUUGCCUUCAAAACUGAUAGCCUAGAGUAUGAUAGAGGUAUGUGGAACUCCGAGUGUAGAGGUGAAAUUCGUAGAUAUUCGGAAGAACACCAGUGGCGAAGGCGACAUACUGGGUCAUGACUGACGCUGAGGCUCGAAAGCGUGGGGAGCAAACAGGAUUAGAUACCCUGGUAGUCCCACGCUGUAACGAUAGUAUUGUCUAGUUGUCGGUACGGCGAUGUCCGUUCGGUUGACGCGAGCGUACGCAUUAAGUACACUCCGCCGUCGGGGUAGGUACGGUCGGCGAAGAAGUUAAAACGUUAACGAAAGGAAGUUAGACGGCGUGAGACGUGCCGACGGACGACGACGAGGGAGGUUAGG